GAUGAACGCUGGCGGCGUGCCUAAUACAUGCAAGUAGAACGCUGAAGCUUGGUGCUUGCACCGAGCGGAUGAGUUGCGAACGGGUGAGUAACGCGUAGGUAACCUGCCUGGUAGCGGGGGAUAACUAUUGGAAACGAUAGCUAAUACCGCAUAACAGUAGAUAUUGCAUGAUAUCUGCUUGAAAGGUGCAAAUGCAUCACUACCAGAUGGACCUGCGUUGUAUUAGCUAGUUGGUGAGGUAACGGCUCACCAAGGCGACGAUACAUAGCCGACCUGAGAGGGUGAUCGGCCACACUGGGACUGAGACACGGCCCAGACUCCUACGGGAGGCAGCAGUAGGGAAUCUUCGGCAAUGGGGGGAACCCUGACCGAGCAACGCCGCGUGAGUGAAGAAGGUUUUCGGAUCGUGAAGCUCUGUUGUAAGAGAAGAACGAGUGUGAGAGUGGAAAGUUCACACUGUGACGGUAUCUUACCAGAAAGGGACGGCGAACUACGU
rnacentral:rRNA from 1 species